GUCAGAGAGCACACCUGGAUUGUUGCCCUGAUCACAAGCCAGUGUCUUCUGUUUGUCUUCUUUCCCACCUGGUGCUGAUGGAGUGGGGCCUCGUGAUGCUCGAGGGUCCUCAAAUCAUGCACAACAUCUUGGUGAUCCAGGAGCUCCGUAAAUGUCUACAGGAUGGGCUUCUCACAUGAUCACAUGUCAUCAUGCCUAGAGGGUCAAUUUUUGGUGACUUUUUAGAAAGAAACUUGUCCAUCCUGCCACCAUUUCUAUCAGCAGAAGAAGGGAAGACUGAAAGAAAGAGGGUUUACUUGAAGCAAGGCUAUUCUAUUCCUUCAGGUGUUCAUUAAACACACACACACACACGUAUGCACACGCUCUCAGCUACCAAGAAUUCUUGUUGAGGCCAGGAGUGGUAGAUGUGUAAGAAAAUGCUGUAAAGUGAGAAAGAUGUAUUUGGUGUUGAAAAGUGAAUUGAUGAGGAGAAGUAACGUGUGGGUUCCCAGGGUAAGAUGAACCACCCGGGGGACACAGAGACCCCCUGACAGGUGUGCGGGCCUCCCUAGGAGACCCCCGCAGAGGCCCUGGAGGACAUUCUGCCAUCACCCGCUUCCAACAGAGAUCCUCUGGCCUGUUCCCAGAGGAGAAGGGCAGGCAGACAGGAAUCGCGUCUGGGGGUUUUACCAGAUGCAGGCUGGACAGAGGUCAGAGAGACUGUCUUCAGAGAUUCUGGUCAACCGCGCAGCUGUUUUUAAGUGUGGACUCUAGGCUCCUGUGGCAGUUGGAGGAGGUCACCUGUGCCAGAACUGUACUGUGAGACCCUAACCUGCACUGCUCGUGGCUCUGUCUCCAGCAUCCAGAACAUUGCUGGGCAGGUGUGAACGCGUUGUCUAUGGAAUGACCAAGAGAAUAAAUGAAGUCUACCUUAAUAACGACGAUCCUGUAUUCUCAUUCACUUUAAAAAAUUGC
ensembl:lncRNA